AUACGUAGGUGGCGAGCGUUGUCCGGAAUUACUGGGCGUAAAGGGUGCGUAGGCGGCCUGAUAAGUCAGAUGUGAAAUACCAGGGCUCAACCCUGGGGGUGCAUUUGAAACUGUCGGGCUUGAGUGCAGGAGAGGAAAGCGGAAUUCCUGGUGUAGCGGUGAAAUGCGUAGAUAUCAGGAGGAACACCAGUGGCGAAGGCGGCUUUCUGGACUGUAACUGACGCUGAGGCACGAAAGCGUGGGGAGCGAACAGGAUUAGAUACCCUGGUAGUCCACGCCGUAAACGAUGGAUACUAGGUGUAGGGGGCGAUUAUGUCUUCUGUGCCGUAGUUAACGCAAUAAGUAUCCCGCCUGGGGAGUACGGCCGCAAGGUUGAA
rnacentral:rRNA from 1 species